AUGCUCGCUUUAGCAACAUCUAUGCUAACAUUAGAACAAUACAGAAGAGAUUAGUAUGGCUGCUGCAGGUGGAUAAUAAAGUUAUCAAGUGGUCCAUAUACUU
rnacentral:snRNA from 1 species